rnacentral:lncRNA from 1 species
CCCGACCGACUCCUUGAGAAGAAACGGCGGAGACCUGAGACCCGGAGGCUGAGGCUGUAGGUGGGCUCCGCUGGGUAAAAGUUGCCGCAGCAGCUGUCCCUUGGCCCCAUCGCGAUUUAUUUUUCCCCCUUGCUUUCCGGGUCCCGGGAUCCCAAGUUUGUAACUAACGGGAGCGAAUCCACACCCGAGCAAAAUGUUUGCGAGUUUCAGGCGCCCUUAGUUGAAAGGCUGUAAUUAACAAGUCCGCUGUUUGCCAGCCAGGCGCCGUUGCAGGCGCUUUCUGUGGAUUGUCAUUUAUUUCUCACAGCAACCCUAGGAGAUGAAAUUGAAUCAUGGAAGAAUGCCUUUAUCUGAGGAGUCAUCACCACUAGGGAGCUAUGGAGGCUGUUAUCCUUGACAUCUGCAGCAGCCCUUCCAAGCUGUGGAGACCAGGUCAUCUGGAAUGCCCAUUUAUGUCAAUGGAAGAAAGAAAAAGGGGUCUCCUCCCAUCCUCACCACUGCAUUCUCCCACCAACCCUGCUCCUGUCCCACUUCCCACAACUCAGUUGUUGACAAUUUAACAGUGGGUUUCUGGAAACAGUGCUGCCUCCUUGAUGGUCUAACUAACUACCAGAGUUAUUCUAACAGCAGGAAUUUCAAGCCAGCAAACCAGACAUACAUAGGAGGCACAGCAAAAGACCCAAGGUGAGGGGCUUCCCUCACCUUCACCCUUGUUCUCACGUGGAGGUGGCGCAUGUCUAUGAGACACAGUACCCCACUCAGCGAUCCUCUGCAGUCCAGGAAAUUCUAGCACUUGCUUGGAAAACAAAUC